UCAACGCUAUCUAUUUGUUUAAAAUUCCUUACAGGCCUCGUAUGAGGCAGUGGGUAAGGGGGGCGCCAAAGUAAAAAAAAAUGUAAAUGGAAACAGAGCACCUUGCAUGGUAUGACAAGACCAAGCGACAUGUCAAUAACGUGUCAAAUAAUUCUGAAUCAACGCUAUCUAUUUGUAUAAAAUUCCUUACAGGCCUCGUAUGAGGCAGUGGGUAAGGGGGGCGCCAAAUAAAAAAAAAUGUAAAUGGAAACAGAGCACCUUGCAUGGUAUGACAAGACCAAGCGACAUGUCAAUAACGUGUCAAAUAAUUCUGAAUCAACGCUAUCUAUUUGUAUAAAAUUCCUUACAGGCCUCGUAUGAGGCAGUGGGUAAGGGGGGCGCCAAAGUAAAAAAAAAUGUAAAUGGAAACAGAGCACCUUGCAUGGUAUGACAAGACCAAGCGACAUGUCAAUAACGUGUCAAAUAAUUCUGAAUCAACGCUAUCUAUUUGUAUAAAAUUCCUUACAGGCCUCGUAUGAGGCAGUGGGUAAGGGGGGCGCCAAAGUAAAAAAAAUGUAAAUGGAAACAGAGCACCUUGCAUGGUAUGACAAGACCAAGCGACAUGUCAAUUAAUUCUGAAAAAGCAUCAAAUUUAGUGCCACAUUUGAGGCUGAUAUGCAACCUAAAAUGGCAUGACAUCAGCAAGGUCCAUGUCAAUUGUGUGCCACCUAAUUUCUGAAAAGCAUCAAAUUUAGUGCCCAAUUUGAUGCUCAUAUGUGGCCUAAUACGGUAUGACAUGCUCAAAUUCAUUUUAGCAAUAAAAAUGUGAACCCCAGCAGCCAAGGUCCAUGAAACAAUGGAAACCAGAUUUCUUUUUGAAACAUUUUUAUUAGCAAAAAAAAAAAAAAAGAAACUUGUACAAGAGGUGGAAAAACAUGACUAGCACAACUUGGGCAAAAAGUGAGCUGCUAAGGCAAUAGAGUUUUGUUGUACAAUGUGAAGAACUCUGCGAAUAAAAGAAGAGCCUAGCAGUAGUAGGGUGAUGCAAGUGGCUGUUCCAAGGUGGCAUAUAUAUUAUGACUAGAUAAAAUGCAAGUUACAUUGGUUCAUGGACGGGCAUUCUCCCUUGAAAGUACUGUACAGUGAAGUGCACGAUGACGGGGAAUGCGGAGUUAGAAUUCAAAAGCUCCCUGGUGCUGCUUUGAACUUGAAGAAACGACCAUGCGAGUUAUUCUUUGCAUGGGAAAGAUACACACGUGGAUAACCAAGCAAUGGUCGCAUAGUCUUGGAGAAAAAGAAGCCCAAGACAGUAGAGACUCUUUGACGUCUCAAUUACUCCAAAAAACGGUUCCACAGAAAACAUUUCCCGAUCAUAUUUUUACCCACUUUAUUCCAUGUUUACUGAGUAAUGUCGUAAAUCUAUAUGAUACCUAGUGCAAGUUUUUGUUUUAGCCGAGCAGGAUUCUUCAUGCUUGUACCAUCCACAGAAUCUCGUUCGCACGCACAAUAUGGCCAAGACGAAUUUCAAGAAUGUUAAUUUCACCGUUUCUGGCAAUUUCCAACAACGAAAAGUGAUUUAACAAAGCGCGUAUUACCUGUUUGCCUAUAGCUGCGUCGUAGUGUUUGGAACGCUUGGCUUGAAACCGCAGCCUCAUCACUGUUUCACAAUCCGAGGUAUACUUGCUCAGGCAUAAUUUUUCAAGUUGCGUGAUGCCAAGCCUCAACCAAAGAGUGAGGAAUAAACGUUGAACAGAAUCGAGCCAUUUCCUAGUGUAUAAAUGCCGUUAGCAGUAAAAAAAAAAAGAAUCAUUGCUUGAAUAAAUAAUUGGGUUUUCCAUGCAAAUUGAUGAUCCACACUGUACAAGUAAAGGCCAUGCGGAGAGGCAUCAAUGGACACAGUAGACUACGCUACAAGGAAUUGUUACACCAAAAUGGGUGUAGCUCUGUCACAAAAGGCUACUCGCCACAUUUGACGCACCUCUCUGUUGAAGAUAGUUGACGCAUUUCACUGUAUUGAGUGAAAUGCAGCAGGAGGGGGUGGGUACUCUGUAAGUGUCCACCUAAUCGACAUGUCCAUUUUAUCUGCUGCUGAAGUUCUGAUUGGCUGGGCUAGGGUACGCAUCAUAAGGAGGCAGGCACUCCAGCCAAUCAGCACUUCAGCAGCGGACAAAAUGGACAUGUCCACCAGGUGGACACUUACAGGAAACCCUCCCCCCCCCAUGACUACUGUGGGCAGUCCAGGAUUAUAGCAAGACACACGCAUCCUUUUUAUCCAACUCCUGGACUUUCGAGACUUUGCAUUUGCCUAUCGCUGAUUACCGAUUUUGGCUUGGAAAAGGUUGUCUGACCCAACGUGCAAGUGAGGCAAAGGAUGCCAUCAUCUUGCACUGUCAUCCACGGGAGGAUAGCACAAAACUACAGAGAAACCCAUACAGGUUUCUCUGAAGGAAGACAUUGUGUUUCCUUUAUAACUUUGUGCUACGUUUGGAUGGACGACAAUUUUCUUCCCCCUUCAUGAAACUUUCUCUACCUUGUGGACUUCCACAGAACUUAUUUGCUUAAUAAUAAUAAAACUUUCUCAUGAGCACAA